rnacentral:rRNA from 1 species
GUGCCAGCAGCCGCGGUAAUACGUAGGUGGCGAGCGUUGUCCGGAUUUAUUGGGCGUAAAGCGCGCGCAGGUGGUUGUCUAAGUCCGGUGUGAAAUCUCCCGGCUCACCUGGGAGGGGGCGCUGGAGACUGGGCAACUGGAGGCAGGCAGAGGUCGGUGGAAUUCCCGGUGUAGUGGUGAAAUGCGUAGAGAUCGGGAGGAACACCAGUGGCGAAAGCGGCCGGCUGGGCCUGUACUGACGCUGAGGCGCGAAAGCGUGGGGAGCGAACCGGAUUAGAAACCCGCGUAGUCC